rnacentral:rRNA from 1 species
UACAGAGGGUGCGAGCGUUAAUCGGAAUUACUGGGCGUAAAGCGUGCGUAGACGGUUAUUUAAGUCGGAUGUGAAAUCCCCGGGCUUAACCUGGGAAGUUGCAUUUUGUGACUGCACGGCUAGAGUGUGUCAGAGGGGGGUAGAAUUCCACGUGUAGCAGUGAAAUGCGUAGAUAUGUGGAGGAAUACCGAUGGCGAAGGCAGCCCCCUGGGAUAACACUGACGCUCAUGCACGAAAGCGUGGGGAGCAAACAGG